GAGUGUGAGUAUGAAAGAUGACGUCACCUCAGGAACGGAGCAUUCUUUGCGAUACGAAAAAGUGUAGCAUAAUCUGGUAACAUCAGAUGCUCAUUAAAACCUCAGACGACUCAGACUUGCUCUCAAACGCAUCAAAAAGAAGAUUUCGUCAGUUGUGGACAGAGUCCAUGUCUUACUACCAUAUUUGAAAACCGGGUCAACGUUGUCCAUUGCGACAGGUAUUUUGAGAGGAAAGGUUUGGUUCAUAAGAUCCAAGUGGGUGAAGUUCUUGACGACUUCAUAGAUACGAUCUUCUAUCUGGUCAUCAUUCCUGCGUAAAUCAGUGUUUGUUAGCAGGACUGCAGGUGGUACCCCCAUCAUUUGGGUAUUCCCCUUAUUAAUAUCUAAACCAUGGCGUAUUGCCGCAUGCUGGAUCGUUUGGUAAGCUUAGGCUACUACAUAAGAGAGCCUCAAAGCAGUAAUGUCUAUGUCAUCCGCGUCAAUGACAGGAUCUGGAAAAACUUUUUAAAGAUGAUCCCUAUCCGGCACAGCUUCUUGGUGGCUCACAAUCGGCGCUGAGGUUAUCCAUCCAACUGCAACUGGCAUUUAAUGUUGGUCAUAGUCAUUCUAACAUAUCUGGCCUCCAGCAAACGAUCGCGAUGCUCCUCACAUAUUACAAUGCCGUCAAACACGGGAUGGUUACCACCGGCGUGCACCCCAAAUCCAACCACCGCAACAGCAUAGUCGAUUCCAAGCUUGCGGCAAAUGUACGACAGUCCAUACUCUGCAAUUGAAAACUGUAUGACGACAACAAU